rnacentral:rRNA from 1 species
UACGUAGGGGGCUAGCGUUGCCCGGAAUCAUUGGGCGUAAAGCGCGUGUAGGCGGCCCGGUAAGUCCGCUGUGAAAGUCGGGGGCUCAACCCUCGGAUGCCGGUGGAUACUGUCGGGCUCGAGUACGGAAGAGGCGAGUGGAAUUCCUGGUGUAGCGGUGAAAUGCGCAGAUAUCAGGAGGAAUACCGAUGGCGAAGGCAGGUCUCUGGGCUGACACUGACGCUCAUGCACGAAAGCGUGGGGAGCAAACAGG